rnacentral:lncRNA from 1 species
AAAAACUUCAAAUGUAAAAAUGUUUAUUUUUUUCUUUCCCAAGUUUGUGAGAUUUUUGCCUAGCUCCUGAAAGACAGCCUGAGCUAGUGGAAGAGUCCAGGUUUCCUGAGAAAACUCAGUACUUCCUCCCAUCUUUGAGGGAGACUCCCAACUAGCAUGUAGCCUUGGGCAGGAGAGUUUUUUUGUUUUUGUUUUUUUUUUUUAGUUCUGUCAUUAAAAACCUCCAGGUACAUUCAGGACUGUCAUUUUAAAUAAUUUAAUGAUCCAGUCUUUUUCAAAAUUAAUAUUGUCAUUAUUAUUAGAAGUUGGAAAUUAAGCAAGAUAUCCUUACUGAGGAUUAAGUUAUAAAACAGGAUGAAUCAAGUUUUAGGGAAAGAGAAUAAAAAGAGAGUGAGAGAAAAAAAAUAGAGAGGAAGGGAGGGAAGGGGCCAAACAAGCAAUGAAGCCUAUAACACUUUGCAGAAAAUAGCAUUUGUUCCAGAAAUUCAGAGAAAUUUGGUACUACCAUAUUUAAAAAUUGUGAUGAUACAUAAAAUAGUCUAUUAAAGUGGAAUAUAUUUAUAAAAUGAAGAUGGGUGAGUGAUAUAAGUCAGUGGUAGAUUGGUUGUCCAACACACAGGAGACCCUGGAUUUAAUCUCUGGUACCACAAAACAAAUAAACAAGCACAUGGUGAAAUAAAUAGGAAAUUGCAGAUGAAGGUGUUUUCUCAAAUUCUUUUCUAGAAUUUCCCAAGAGUGGGAAUACAUUGAAAUAUCAAUGUAAAUAUCCGAUCUCAUUAUUAAAAAUGUAUUCCAAGAGCUGGGGCUGUAGCUCAGUGGCAGAAUGCUUGCCUUGCACAUGUGAGGCACUGGGUUUUAUCCUCAGCACCACAUAAAAGCAAAUAAAAUAAAGGCAUGCUGUCCAUCUACAACUUACAAACAUUUUUAAAAAAAUGUAUACCAAUGUGUGUAGGGGAAUCAGACUACUCGAUCCUAAGGUCAUCAAGUAUCAACAGCACAUUAUUUACUUCUCUUAGGCUAAAUUGUGAUUUAUCAAAUAAUCUUCCAAUAAUUUGGUUUUUCAUAGUUUUCUGAAAGGAAAACUGAAAGUAGUCCUACUGAUAUUACUAGUUUAUAUUUGAUGGAUA